AUUAUCCUCUUUGGCCCGGCACCCUGUCCACGCACCGUCUAUCUAUUUUCAGUCUCAUUGACGCAGACUGGUGCUGGCCACAAACGGAUUUGGCGCGUCAUGGGGAUACACCUGCACUCCACUUAUAAAAGGAAGCACCGCCAGUGUCUCCAUGAUUCAUUCCACCACUUGAGGAGCAAGUAGACACUUGGUCUCCAACAUCACUUGGCUAAGCUAAAUCGGGUCUACCCAACAUCCAGCAGGACAUGGAACCAAUCGCGCCAAGCGUUACCCUCCAGGAUGCUCAGUUUGCCCGCAGGCAGCUGAGGGUCAGCCCGCGGGGAGCUUCCUCACACUUCGUGGGAAGCACUAUAGUCAUACUUUCCUCAUACGCUGUGGCCACCAUGGCCAUGAACUGCGGCAAGAAGAUGCAAGAAAUGAAGUCAAAACCAAACGAGAACUGAAGGCCAAUGCGAAGACCAAAGUGCCUUCCUACUUCCUAUUUAUUACCUGAAAGUCUCCAGAUGAUUGUCCAACAUUUCUUCUGAAAUCAGGGAUCUUCAAAGGGAGCCGGUCUUCCUUCACUGCAGAAACAGCUGCCACUCUUCUGGGAUUUGAUUCCCUUCAGCUGCAGGAAUAUUUAUGAUGUCAGAUGCUGAUGUUGGAUGAUUAUUUCUGAAUUAUCAACAAUCUCCAACUCAUAUUCCUAAAGAUGAUCAGUGGAGCUUCAGCUCUUCAUAAUGGUUUCAAAAGAUCUUCAUUUCUCUAGAUCAUCCCACAUGUGCUCAGUGAGACCUUAACUCAUCCUGGAGGUCUUUAAAGGGGUGACAUUGCUCCAACUCAUCCAAAAGGUCUCCAAUGAAACUUCAAGUCAUCACUCCUAAUCAUCCUGUAGAAAAUCAGUGGAACUUUAACUCAUCCCAGAGGUCUUUAAAGGAGCUUCAUCACAACAACUUAUCUCUAAUGUGUGACUGCUCGAGAGUGUCUGAUUCUACUGCCAAAAAAAUUAUUUCUCAAAUCCACUAUCUAGAAGGUGCAUAUUGGCGAAUGGAAAGAACAUCAGUAAAACCAGCUUAAGGUGACAGAAACGUCUGAUUAUCAUCUGGGUUGCUGUCUGGAACUGUUUCAGAGGCAGAUUGUAUGGAUUGUACAGUGUUUUCUUAUUUUUUUAUGUUGUUAUUAACAGUCUUCAGUUUUCUUUUGAAAAAUAUGUAUUCGUAUGGCAGAGAAUUUCAGUUCAGUAGUAUGAGGAAUAACUUUUUUACCUUCUGUAAAGCUUUGUUAACUUUUAUAAGUAAUAAUUUUCAAAUGUUUGUGUGGAAACUUCAAAUACGCUGUGUACUGUAUGAUUACUGUAUGAUUGUAUGAUUACUUUGUUCAUCUCAGUGUAAAAUACAGUAUAUGUUUGAAGGAGUAGAUGAGUGGUUUUACCUUUUCUGUCAGCAGCGUUAGAGUUGACCACAGCUGAUUUUGUUGUGUGCUGUAAACCAAUGCAGCAAUGUAACAAAGCUAACACGUCUUGAUUUGAAUGAACACAUAUUUUUACACUUUAAUACAGAUGCAAUAAAAUGUCUCAGAACUUG